GCCUACGGGGCGCAGCAGUGGGGAAUAUUGCACAAUGGGGGGAAUCCUGAUGCAGCGACGCCGCGUGAGUGAAGAAGUAUUUCGGUAUGUAAAGCUCUAUCAGCAGGGAAGAAGAUGACGGUACUUGAAGAAAAAGCAUCGGCUAACUCCGUGCCAGCAGCCGCGGUAAUACGGAGGAUGCGAGCGUUAUCCGGAUUUAUUGGGUUUAAAGGGUGCGUAGGCGGGCUGUUAAGUCAGCGGUAAAAGCCCGGGGCUCAACCCCGGCGAGCCGUUGAAACUGGCUGUCUUGAGAUGUCGCGAGGGAG
rnacentral:rRNA from 1 species